AAGCGUAGUCGAACGAAUCUG
rnacentral:miRNA from 1 species